ACGAACGCUGGCGGCGUGCUUAACACAUGCAAGUCGAACGGAAAGGCCCUGCUUUUGUGGGGUGCUCGAGUGGCGAACGGGUGAGUAACACGUGAGUAACCUGCCCUUGACUUUGGGAUAACUUCAGGAAACUGGGGCUAAUACCGGAUAGGAGCUCCUGCUGCAUGGUGGGGGUUGGAAAGUUUCGGCGGUUGGGGAUGGACUCGCGGCUUAUCAGCUUGUUGGUGGGGUAGUGGCUUACCAAGGCUUUGACGGGUAGCCGGCCUGAGAGGGUGACCGGCCACAAUGGGACUGAGAGACGGCCCAGACUCCUACGGGGGGCAACAGGGGGGAAUAUUGCACAAUGGGCGGAAGCCUGAUGCAGAAACGCCGGGGGCGGGAUGACGGCCUUUGGGUUGUAAACCGCUUUCGCCUGUGACGAAGCGUGAGUGACGGUAAUGGGUAAAGAAGCACCGGCUAACUACGUG
rnacentral:rRNA from 1 species